rnacentral:lncRNA from 1 species
GUGAAGCCAGAACGUCAGAGCAAGGGAACUGCCAGACAAAGCAAAGAAAAUGAAGAUUUCUGUCUUGGGAAUUGAACCUUCAAUGUCUUAUUGUAUAAGGCCUGUGUGCACAGUCUGAGGAUCUGAUGAAAGCCAAACGACCAAAAUCCAGGAAGAGUGCUCAGUUCGUGGAUUUUCUCAUUUGCUUUCGUAGAUAUGAGAGAUUGUGUUGCUCAGGUGUUCAAGGUGUUGUGAGAGCAAUAUUCUGAGGGGAGAAAAUGGCAAGGCGGUUCACAUUUCUCUGUAUGCUCUAGCAGCCACCCCAGCAUGUAUUUUAGCUGGCACUGAGUGUAACCCCCAUGGUGGCAAGCUCCCCUGCUCCUUUCAGGUGUUUUGCUGGUGGGAUCAUCCAUGUUGCAGGAGACUCUCUGAGCCCCAGCAAGGUCGCACAGCCCUAGCAGAGCAGAGUCACUGCCACCCUCACGUAGGCAGUGACAUGGCGCAGGGGAUUACCCACCCUGGGGUCCUCCCAGUGAUACCUGGACAAGUCAGCAGCACACGGCAGCAGCAGCAGGGAGAAGUGAUGGGAGCACUUGCACCGUUUACCUGUGCCUCAGAGCAGCCACAGCAAGGGACCAGGACAGGCUGAUGCACCAAGGACACAUUGACUUGCUCACCUCCUGCACUGUUGGAAUUAGUUUUGCAGUUAAUAUACGCACUGAUGUCAAAUAAAAUGAAACCGUUAUGAUGUUGUGAGUUGCCU